UUCUAUGCACAUAUCCAAUCAGGCCACAGCUGCAGGAUGAAGGCUCUAAACAGAGGAACAGACCAAGCCCAGGGCACGUUUCAGCCUAUUCUGUGUGCACCAGCCACUCUGACACUUUCUGUACUGGGAUUCAUAGCAUCACUUUCUCAGCAAAAAUUAUGUUGGGGAGAUGAAACAACAAAUCUAGAUAAAUACAGCCCUUGCCCUCCCAGAGCCAGAAACCUAGGAAACAGGCAGAAACCCUGCUGUCACAAGACACAGCAAACAUUAAACAUAGACUGUCCUUAGCUAUAAAGUUGACAACACUGUGCAUAAUUUAGUCCGUGGAACUGCAAACAUGUGGUCCACCAUCUUCCUGGCAACAUGAAAAGAAAGUAAAGCCUUAAGGAUGUGUGAACAACUAGGAAAGAGGGUGAGCUGCCAGCACCACGGGCAGAGGGAGCAGCUUGGAUCACGCAGGAACAUCCUGUGAACUCAUGAGCCUUGAGGACCUCUUCUUCUACUUCAAGGGCUGCCCCUGAGCUCGGGAACCCUAUUGCCACUUGCUUUCUCCACCAGCCUCUGGACCAAGCACUGUGUAUGAAGUCCUAAUUACAUUCCACUGAAGAAUCAUUCCAACUCAGCCCCAGGGAAUCUAACUGCAAAUUCUUCUGAUAAGGUAUGUGCACAG
rnacentral:lncRNA from 1 species